rnacentral:rRNA from 1 species
AUUGAACGCUGGCGGCAGGCCUAACACAUGCAAGUCGAACGAGUGGCGGACGGGUGAGUAAGGUCUGGGAAACUGCCUGAUGGAGGGGGAUAACUACUGGAAACGGUAGCUAAUACCGCAUACCAUCGGAUGUGCCCAGCUGGGAUUAGCUAGUCGGUGGGGUAAAGGCUCACCUAGGCGACGAUCCCUAGCUGGUCUGAGAGGAUGACCAGCCACACUGGAACUGAGACACGGCCCAGACUCCUACGGGAGGCAGCAGUGGGGAAUAUUGGACAAUGGGCGCAAGCCUGAUGGAGCCACGCCGCGUGUAUGAAGAAGGUCUUCGGGUUGUAAAGCACUGUCAGCGGGGAGGCGUUACCCGCAGAGGAAGCACCGGCUAACUCCGUGCCAGCAGCCGCGGUAAUUC